rnacentral:lncRNA from 1 species
UUGAUACAGCUAAGCUGGCUACAUUGCUGUGUUAUAUAAAUACCAAUUGUGUGUCAGUUGAUAAAAAGCUUCCAAGUGUUUAAUAACUGGCUUAGGAGUAAUUUUUCUGGAGUUUGCUAGCUUUUCCACGGCAAGAACAUCCCAGCAUUUGGAAUCCAUCUGCAGUGACUGUGAGUCCAACGUUCUCCGUACAAACAUGGUGGAGGAAUCUGAGAUUUGAACUGUUUAUCCCCUGUGGCUCCUUACAAGCAUCGGUAAAAGCAAUCUUUUUCAAACUUGAUGAGACACUGCUUUUUUUCCCAUCCUAUCUCACAUUUUCAUUUCCAGAUUUACCCACUGGAGGAGAGACUCACUCAUGGAUACGUGGCCCUUCAUCAGUGCUGGUACCAUGUUCAUUUUUCAUGCCAUAUAGUUGCUGUGGAACAACACCAGGAAAUAAUACAGUAUUCUCCUGAAGCCAAGAUCACCAGGAUGAUCAUGAGGGAUUUUUAAGCAUUCUUGCAACACAAAGCUACUGCAAACCCAGCUUACCUGGCAGGUGACGUCCUUUCUUACAGGUGCUUUUUAUCUCUGAGCUGAGCAAAGUACUUGAAAUAUGCUUUCAUCUGAUCUGGAGGUAGGUUGAGCUGAGAAGGAACUGGCUUGCCAGUCGGAGAUAGAAAGGAGAUAUAGGAACCUUGCAUCAGACCUUGAACAGUAAGAUGACUGAUUAAGCCUGGGAGAAGUACUAAUCAAGGUUCACCCAGAAAGUGCCCAUGGUUUCCUGUGAAUGAAGCUUUGUCACAGGUGUGAAUGAAGUUUUGUCACAGAGCCAUCGGAGCUGGCCUAGUGCUGGGCUUGGGAGCUCUUGGCACAGAUCCAUGGCUAUCCUUCCUCCAGCACCUACCUGGGUCCUGGGGGUGUACAGCUGUGUUCGUAUGGAGCUCAGCAUGAGCUGAAUUCCCCGGGAGCUUACUUGGGGGUCCCUGCCCCUGCAGUAGUGGGCAGGAGAAACCAGACACUUUUGGGUAAUUCUUCAUCAGUUCCCCAUAAGUCAGUGUGGGUCCAUGCAGUGGGACUUAUGUUACUUGAAUUUUUCCAUUAUCGGGGCUAAGCCAGCCCUCAUAAGCUGGAUAAUGAAAACUGGCCUCAUGUUGAAGAUGAGUAACAGAGCAUAGCUUUCUGUGGCAGCAGAAGUCAGUUUAAGUGAUCGCUUCUCUCCUUACACAUUUAUUGCCCUAUU